rnacentral:rRNA from 1 species
GACGAGGGGUGCUAGCGUUGUUCGGAAUCACUGGGCGUAAAGCGUAUGUAGGCGGACUUUUAAGUCGGGUGUGAAAGCCCAUGGCUCAACCAUGGAAUUGCAUUCGAAACUGGAAGCCUUGAGUGUGGGAGAGAUUGGUAGAAUACCUGGUGUAGUGGUGAAAUACGUAGAUAUCAGGUGGAAUACCGGCGGCGAAGGCGGCAAUUGGCCCAACACUCGACGCUGAGAUACGAAAGCGUGGGGAUCAAACAGG